GCCACAUCCAAAUCCCCUUUCUCUGUCCCCAUUCUCCGUCCGCGAUACAUCGUCGUCGCUUUCCUUCGACAAAUGCGGAGAGAAGACAAAGAUUUGGAAUUCGACCGCUGGCCAAUUCGAAGCCCCAUUUGUUCUGUACUAGAUGCCCUUAGUUCUGGAAGAUGAUGGGCUGAAGUAGGUGCAAUGGCAUUGAUAGCACGUCACACACAGGGUUCUUUUUCAACACAUUCACUGAGUUGUAGUGCGUCAAGUAGAAGGGCAAUUGUGAGGUCCUCGAUUGUUCAGUUGCUGUAUGAAACACUUGUUUGUGCCCCUGAAGCAUCAUUUUGAUUUUAGCUAUCUAUGAUUGGAUCUAGAAUCAGGUUCAGAGUACUUUGCUUCCUGGAUUUGCAGUGGUACAUGUCCGGAAUGCAGAAAUUUGUUGUUUGGUUUCAUUGCUAUGGUUACAACUUACGAAUAGGAUUCAUAUAAAAUUUUGCUACUAGGGAUUCACACAGCACGGGCUCAAAUUAACUAAGUUGUUGGAAAAUCUGAAAAACC